rnacentral:tRNA from 1 species
GCGCCGGUGGUGUAAGGCAUAGCAUCGCUGCCCGGAAAGCAGGUGCGGGUUCGAGUCCCGCCUGGCGCA